rnacentral:rRNA from 1 species
GAUCCUGGCUCAGGAUGAACGCUAGCUACAGGCUUAACACAUGCAAGUCGAGGGGCAGCAUGGUCUUAGCUUGCUAAGACUGAUGGCGACCGGCGCACGGGUGAGUAACACGUAUCCAACCUGCCGUCUACUCUUGGACAGCCUUCUGAAAGGAAGAUUAAUACAAGAUGGCAUCAUGAGUCCGCAUGUUCACAUGAUUAAAGGGUAUUCCCGGUAGACGAUGGGG